GACGGAGGAUGCAAGUGUUAUCCGGAAUCACUGGGCGUAAAGCGUCUGUAGGUGGUCAAAUAAGUCAACUGUUAAAUCUUGAGGCUUAACCUCAAAAUCGCAGUCGAAACUAUUAGACUAGAGUAUAGUAGGGGUAAAGGGAAUUUCCAGUGGAGCGGUGGAAUGCGUAGAGAUCGGAAAGAACACCGAUGGCGAAGGCACUUUACUGGGCUAUUACUAACACUCAGAGACGAAAGCUAGGGUAGCAAAUGGG
rnacentral:rRNA from 1 species